CCCCUAGAUGUUCUGGGCCGCACGCGCGCUACACUGAACAGUUCAACAAGUCUUAACCUUGGCCGAUAGGUCUGGGUAAUCUUUGAACGCUGUUCGUGAUUGGGAUGGACCUUUGCAAUUAUGGGUCUUCAACGAGGAAUUCCUAGUAAACGCAAGUCAUCAGCUUGCAUUGAUUACGUCCCUGCCCUUUGUACACACCGCCCGUCGCACCUACCGAUUGAAUGGUCCGGUGAAGCCUCGGGAUUGCGAAUGCUUCGUGCGGACGCGAGAACUUGGCUAAACCUUACCAUUUAGAGGAAGGUGAANUCGUANCA
rnacentral:rRNA from 1 species